GGGACAACCCCGGGAAACUGGAGCUAAUACCAAAUGAGACCACAUGGCCUUCGGGUCGAGUGGGAAAAGAUGGCCUCUUCUUGAAAGCUAUCGCUCGGAGAUGAGCCCGCGUCGCAUUAGCUUGUUGGUGAGGUAAAAGCUCACCAAGGCUACGAUGCGUAGCUGGUCUGAGAGGAUGAUCAGCCACACUGGAACUGAGACACGGUCCAG
rnacentral:rRNA from 1 species